AAUAGCCAACCAAAUGGCUUUGUCUUGAGAAAAACCGAACCUUUGAGAAAGAAAAAGAGAGAUUUAGCUAGGAAGCAAAGGAAGAAAGAAAGAAAGAAAGAAAGAAAGAAAGGAGAAAGGAAGAAAAGAAGAAGGGGAGAGAGGACAAAGAAGAAAAGAGAAAGUGAAGGUUUGGCCUAGUGAACUUGAGACAUGGAAGGUAAAAAGAUUUGUCAUUUUACUUGAAAUGCAUGCUUUGUAAAUCAAUUGUAAUGUGAGAUUUUGUUUGUGGUAGCAAGAAUCUACAAAGAUUCAAAGGACCCGAGGCAUACAUGUAGGUAGAUCUUGGAAUGCGUGGAGAUUUUAGAGCUAAAUAAGCAAUAGCAAAAGUGGCCAUAGAUGUGAGGAAGUUGUGAAUCAUAUUCGGAAAUUCAAGCUUGAAUAGAGAGAAGAUUCGAAAGGAGGUCGGUUGUCACUUCAGUUAAGUGUGACCCUUGUGCACAAGUGAGCUUUUGCUCGAGAACUUUUGGGUCAUCGACGGCUUGUUAGACAUGGCUGAGGCCAUGGUCUAUAAUAUACGUGGCUGGGCCACGGGUUGUUAUAUAUGGCUAGACCAUAAGUGAUAUUCAUGGUUACGACCACUUGAUUUCUCCGAUGUCAACCAAUAUCAUUGAGACUGCCAUGGCAUGUGGAAAUUCGAUGGAGCGGUGCUCUCGAAUUGUUAUUACGUGGAAAUAGGUCCGUGGGUUGAUAUUUACGAUUUCUUACUCGAAAGCGAUAUCUCUUUGGGUUUUCAAACAUGACUUCUGCUGCAGGAUACUGAUCGACCUAGCAUGCAAUCAUCGUUGCUUAUGGUCCAUUGCAGAUAGGUAACGACAUCUCAUAGCACUUUAUUCCAAGUCCAUAGCUUGAAGUAUUUGUAAAUGGUGUCAAUAUAAAUAUGCAG